rnacentral:rRNA from 1 species
ACGCGAAAAGGGGCAACCCUGAGUAGAGUGGCGUCCGGGUGAGUAACACGUGGAUAAUCUACCUACGAGUGGGGAAUAACUUUCCGAAAGGGGAGCUAAUACCGCAUAACAUCGUCUGGGGGCAGCCUUGGACGAUCAAAGUGGAGGACCGAAAGGCUUCACGCUUGUAGAGGAGUCCGCGGCUGAUUAGCUAGUUGGUGAGGUAAUGGCUCACCAAGGCAACGAUCAGUAGCCGGCCUGAGAGGGCGGUCGGCCACACUGGCACUGAAACACGGGCCAGACUCCUACGGGAGGCAGCAGUGGGGAAUUUUGGGCAAUGGGGGCAACCCUGACCCAGCAACGCCGCGUGAGGGAUGAAAUCCUUCGGGAUGUAAACCUCGCAAGUAAGGGAAGGAUAAACGUAGAUUAAUAAUCUAUGAUAUGACGGUACCUUACGUAAGCCCCGGCUAACUCCGUGCCAGCAGCCGCGGUAAUACGGGGGGGGCAAGCGUUG